UACGUAGGGUGCAAGCGUUAAUCGGAAUUACUGGGCCUAAAGCGUGCGCAGGCGGUUUUGUAAGUCUGUCGUGAAAGCCCCGGGCUCAACCUGGGAAUUGCGAUGGAGACUGCAAGGCUUGAAUCUGGCAGAGGGGGGUAGAAUUCCACGUGUAGCAGUGAAAUGCGUAGAGAUGUGGAGGAACACCGAUGGCGAAGGCAGCCCCCUGGGUCAAGAUUGACGCUCAUGCACGAAAGCGUGGGGAGCAAACAGG
rnacentral:rRNA from 1 species